rnacentral:rRNA from 1 species
UACAGAGGGUGCGAGCGUUAAUCGGAGUUACUGGGCGUAAAGGGCGCGUAGGCGGUUAUGUAAGUUUCAUGUGAAAUCCCUGGGCUUAACCUAGGAACUGCAUGAGAUACUGUAUGACUGGAGUACUGUAGAGGGUAGUGGAAUUUCCGGUGUAGCGGUGAAAUGCGUAGAGAUCGGAAGGAACACCAGUGGCGAAGGCGGCUACCUGGACAGAUACUGACGCUGAGGCGCGAGAGCGUGGGGAGCAAACAGG